rnacentral:lncRNA from 1 species
CUUCUAACAAAAAAAAAAGUGUAACUCUAAGUUAUAAGAACUGCAACCAAAAGCAAAAGGCUGACAAUAACUGGCUCACUUUAAGAGAAUGGUUUUGAGUCUUCUUCAUUAAUAUACUUUGGAGACCCACAGUUAUAACUUUAAUGCCCAAAUUUCAAUAGUAUCCAAAAUAAUCUCUGAGCUAGCCUUAGGAUGUUUCUUAGCUAAGCGUUAUUAGUUUGGCUGGCUCACUCUUGGACAGAAAAAAAACAUAUUUAUGGUACUCCAAAUGUAGAAAAACCCAUGGCUUUUAUUUAAUACAUUUACAGUUUCUUGAGAUUACAAAACAUUUCACAGUUUCUAUCUGUAUGUAUAUUUAAAUUUCCUCUAAAUAUCUGAAAUCACACCAUCAGAAUCUAAGUUAGAUGAGAGCAGGAACCCUGACUAUUUCACUCACGUGUGUAGAGCCAAUGUCCCGUCUCCAGAGUAAAGAUUGGAUGGAAUGCAGAAUAUUGAAAUGGAAGGCAGAAUAUUGAAAUGGAAUGCAGAAUAUUGAAAUGGAAUGUAGAAUAUUGAAUGAAUCAAUCAAAGACUUUAACACUUCCAGCUACAGGCAGCUCAUUAUGGCUCAAAGCAGCCAGGCCUCAGAGUUCUUUUUUACAAUGAUUGGACUGUCAUCUCUUCCCACUUGUUUGUUCCAGUUUUAGCUCGUCAGGUCAUGUAGAUUUACUCUACCAUAUAACAAACCUUUAAAUACCUGAACUGAUACUCAUGCCCUACUUUCUCCACCUGACCUCUGAGGUUGACUUAUUUGGAGGUUCAAGAUAAUUGACCACUAAGUCUGGUUCUGGAGAAGUUGGGUUUCCACAUGCCUUACAGUACAAGUGUGGCAAUUCAGGAGGUGAUCUAGAAGCAAGGUGUCCUUGCUCACGGAAGAAUGACAGCGGGAGAGAAGAUCGAAAUCACUGCCCAGGUUAAUAAAGCAAUAUGUGAGAUGACAGUCCAAGUUAGAAACCAGCCAAAGGUAUUUCAAGUAACACUUUUAUAGUGCUUAUAUGUGGUAGGUAGUUUUCUAAGCACUUCACAGAUGAGGUGAUUCAUUUAAUCCUUACAAUAACCCUAUGAGGGGUAAGCUUUCACCCCUCCUUUAACAGGAGAGCAAACUAAAGUGCAACAUGAUAAGUUAUGUAGACGACAUUAGAGCUCAGGCAGUCUGGCUAAGAAGUUGGGGCUCUUAACUACUAUCCUAUGCUACUUCUCCAUGCAAAUAAGAAUUAUUGUUAGUAAAGUCACUUUGUGGUUUUUUGUAUUUUUAGAUUUUUAUCGAUUUAGGAGGUACCAGUCAGGUUUCUUACAUGCAUAUAUUGCCAAGUGGAGAUGUCUGGGCUUCUGGUAUGCCCAUCAGCCUAAUAGUAAAUAUUGUACCUAAUAGAUAAUUUUUCAAUUCUCACCCCCACCCCACCCUCUUUGGUAACUUUGGGAUUUUUGGAAGCUUUAGUUCUUCAAAACCCCCCAAAUGUGGUAUAUAAUAAUGUAGAUAACUAAAAGAUUCAAUAGGUUUUUUUUCUCUUAAGAAGGAAAAUAAAGAUACAUUUAUCCAUAAUUUACUCUAAAAUAAAAUUCUACAUUACAAAUAUGUUGUAUAAUCUAGUGUGCUGAAUUACAUGGCUUAUACAACGUGAUCGUCUUAUAUUAAGAUGAAUAUUCCCAAAAAUGUGAUGAUUGUGUAGGGAAUAAAUUUCAUAUUCAUAUUUUCCAGGAAUCAAUGAUUGAUUCCACAAUGGAAUAAACCUUUCAUAGCAUAAUGAUAGCUUCUUGUAUAGGUUUGUUAAACUACAUGUUAGUAAAUAACAUCUCACUUACUGGCAUAAAAUCUUCAUUAUAAUAUUUAGAAAAUUUGUCUUGGUUGAAAACAGCAUCUUUAUUUAAUUAAUUAAUUUGUUUGUUUAUUUUUUGAGAUAAGAUCUCACUUUGUCACCCAGGCUGGAGUGCAG